rnacentral:rRNA from 1 species
AGAAGUGCGAAUGCUGACAUAAGUAACGAUAAAGCGGGUGAAAAGCCCGCUCGCCGGAAGACCAAGGGUUCCUGUCCAACGUUAAUCGGGGCAGGGUGAGUCGACCCCUAAGGCGAGGCCGAAAGGCGUAGUCGAUGGGAAACGGGUUAAUAUUCCCGUACUUGGUGUUACUGCGAAGGGGGGACGGAGAAGGCUAUGUUGGCCGGGCGACGGUUGUCCCGGUUUAAGCGUGUAGGUGUGUGUUCCAGGUAAAUCCGGUUCACUUUAACACUGAGGCGUGAUGACGAGGCACUACGGUGCUGAAGCAACAAAUGCCCUGCUUCCAGGAAAAGCCUCUAAGCAUCAGGUAACAUCAAAUCGUACCCCAAACCGACACAGGUGGUCAGGUAGAGAAUACCAAGGCGCUUGAGAGAACUCGGGUGAAGGAACUAGGCAAAAUGGUGCCGUAACUUCGGGAGAAGGCACGCUGACACGUAGGUGAAGUGAUUUACUCACGGAGCUGAAGUCAGUCGAAGAUACCAGCUGGCUGCAACUGUUUAUUAAAAACACAGCACUGUGCAAACACGAAAGUGGACGUAUACGGUGUGACGCCUGCCCGGUGCCGGAAGGUUAAUUGAUGGGGUCAGCGCAAGCGAAGCUCCUGAUCGAAGCCCCGGUAAACGGCGGCCGUAACUAUAACGGUCCUAAGGUAGCGAAAUUCCUUGUCGGGUAAGUUCCGACCUGCACGAAUGGCGUAAUGAUGGCCAGGCUGUCUCCACCCGAGACUCAGUGAAAUUGAACUCGCUGUGAAGAUGCAGUGUACCCGCGGCAAGACGGAAAGACCCCGUGAACCUUUACUAUAGCUUGACACUGAACAUUGAGCCUUGAUGUGUAGGAUAGGUGGGAGGCUUUGAAGUGUGGACGCCAGUCUGCAUGGAGCCGACCUUGAAAUACCACCCUUUAAUGUUUGAUGUUCUAACGUGGACCCGUAAUCCGGGUUGCGGACAGUGUCUGGUGGGUAGUUUGACUGGGGCGGUCUCCUCCUAAAGAGUAACGGAGGAGCACGAAGGUUGGCUAAUCCUGGUCGGACAUCAGGAGGUUAGUGCAAUGGCAUAAGCCAGCUUGACUGCGAGCGUGACGGCGCGAGCAGGUGCGAAAGCAGGUCAUAGUGAUCCGGUGGUUCUGAAUGGAAGGGCCAUCGCUCAACGGAUAAAAGGUACUCCGGGGAUAACAGGCUGAUACCGCCCAAGAGUUCAUAUCGACGGCGGUGUUUGGCACCUCGAUGUCGGCUCAUCACAUCCUGGGGCUGAAGUAGGUCCCAAGGGUAUGGCUGUUCGCCAUUUAAAGUGGUACGCGAGCUGGGUUUAGAACGUCGUGAGACAGUUCGGUCCCUAUCUGCCGUGGGCGCUGGAGAACUGAGGGGGGCUGCUCCUAGUACGAGAGGACCGGAGUGGACGCAUCACUGGUGUUCGGGUUGUCAUGCCAAUGGCACUGCCCGGUAGCUAAAUGCGGAAGAGAUAAGUGCUGAAAGCAUCUAAGCACGAAACUUGCCCCGAGAUGAGUUCUCCCUGAGACUUUAAGUCUCCUGAAGGAACGUUGAAGACGACGACGUUGAUAGGCCGGGUGUGUAAGCGCAGCGAUGCGUUGAGCUAACCGGUACUAAUGAACCGUGAGGCUUAACCUU